GUGGGGAAUAUUGGACAAUGGGGGGAACCCUGAUCCAGCCAUGCCGCGUGUGUGAAGAAGGCCUUUUGGUUGUAAAGCACUUUAAGCGAGGAGGAGGCUACCGAGAUUAAUACUCUUGGAUAGUGGACGUUACUCGCAGAAUAAGCACCGGCUAACUCUGUGCCAGCAGCCGCGGUAAUACAGAGGGUGCAAGCGUUAAUCGGAUUUACUGGGCGUAAAUCGCGCGUAGGUGGCCAAUUAAGUCAAAUGUGAAAUCCCCGAGCUUAACUUGGGAAUUGCAUUCGAUACUGGUGGGCUAGAGUAUGGGAGAGGAUGGUAGAAUUCCAGGUGUAGCGGUGAAAUGCGUAGAGAUCUGGAGGAAUACCGAUGGCGAAGGCAGCCAUCUGGCCUAAUACUGACACUGAGGUGCGAAAGCAUGGGGAGCAAACAGGAUUAGAUACCCUAGUAGUCC
rnacentral:rRNA from 1 species